rnacentral:rRNA from 1 species
ACACGUAGGGGCCUGACGUUGUUCGGAAUCAUUGGGCGUAAAGGGCGCGCAGGCGGCCGUCCAAGUCCGGUGUUAAAUGGUCGGGCUCAACCCGAUCAUGCGCUGGAAACUGGGCGGCUUGAGUCCCGUAGGGGAUGCCGGAAUUCCAGGUGUAGGGGUGAAAUCUGUAGAUAUCUGGAAGAACACCGAUGGCGAAGGCAGGUCUCUGGCCGGAGACUGACGCUGAGGCGCGAAGGCGCGGGGAGCGAACAGGUUUAGAUACCCUGGUAGUCCGCGCAGUAAACGAUGCGCACCAGGUGUCGGGCGGCAGCGCCCGGUACCGGAGCUAACGCGAUGAGUGCGCCGCCUGGGGAGUAUGCCCGCAAGGGUGAAACUCAAAGGAAUUGACGGGG